rnacentral:rRNA from 1 species
AGAGUUUGAUCCUGGCUCAGGACGAACGCUGGCGGCGUGCCUAAUACAUGCAAGUAGAACGCUGAAGAGAGGAGCUUGCUCUUCUUGGAUGAGUUGCGAACGGGUGAGUAACGCGUAGGUAACCUGCCUUGUAGCGGGGGAUAACUAUUGGAAACGAUAGCUAAUACCGCAUAACAAUGGGUGACACAUGUCAUUUAUUUGAAAGGGGCAAUUGCUCCACUACAAGAUGGACCUGCGUUGUAUUAGCUAGUAGGUGAGGUAACGGCUCACCUAGGCGACGAUACAUAGCCGACCUGAGAGGGUGAUCGGCCACACUGGGACUGAGACACGGCCCAGACUCCUACGGGAGGCAGCAGUAGGGAAUCUUCGGCAAUGGGGGCAACCCUGACCGAGCAACGCCGCGUGAGUGAAGAAGGUUUUCGGAUCGUAAAGCUCUGUUGUAAGUCAAGAACGAGUGUGAGAGUGGAAAGUUCACACUGUGACGGUAGCUUACCAGAAAGGGACGGCUAACUACGUGCCAGCAGCCGCGGUAAUACGUAGGUCCCGAGCGUUGUCCGGAUUUAUUGGGCGUAAAGCGAGCGCAGGCGGUUUGAUAAGUCUGAAGUUAAAGGCUGUGGCUCAACCAUAGUUCGCUUUGGAAACUGUCAAACUUGAGUGCAGAAGGGGAGAGUGGAAUUCCAUGUGUAGCGGUGAAAUGCGUAGAUAUAUGGAGGAACACCGGUGGCGAAAGCGGCUCUCUGGUCUGUAACUGACGCUGAGGCUCGAAAGCGUGGGGAGCGAACAGGAUUAGAUACCCUGGUAGUCCACGCCGUAAACGGUGGAUGCUGGAUGUGGGGCCCGUUCCACGGGUUCCGUGUCGGAGCUAACGCGUUAAGCAUCCCGCCUGGGGAGUACGGCCGCAAGGCUAAAACUCAAAGAAAUUGACGGGGGCCCGCACAAGCGGCGGAGCAUGCGGAUUAAUUCGAUGCAACGCGAAGAACCUUACCUGGGCUUGACAUGUUCCCGACGGUCGUAGAGAUACGGCUUCCCUUCGGGGCGGGUUCACAGGUGGUGCAUGGUCGUCGUCAGCUCGUGUCGUGAGAUGUUGGGUUAAGUCCCGCAACGAGCGCAACCCU